AUGAUGAAGAGAUUUUUGAGGGGCUCAUCGAGCCGAAGCUCGAAGGAAAAGCAAAGUGAAGAAGCAGAGAUGCCCAAAUAUAAUCUGCCUCGCACCGCGGAAGUUCGGCCGUGUGAAUGGCCUUAUGAUGAUUUCUUGAGAGCAGCCGGGAUUUAUGAUGAUUUUUAUGAGUUGGCUGAGAAUGCAGGCCUCACCGACUUCCUCCGCGACAAACGCGAACAAUAUCUCUUACUCACCAAUACCUUUUUGCAAAAUUUUCAUUUCCAUUCUAGGAGGUCACCACCUAUGGUGGAUUUUUAUUUAUACGAUGAGUAUAAGGAGAUGACCCUUCGUGAAUUUUGUGUGGUGUGCAAGUUACCUUUUCCGGGUUUCAUAGAGGAACCACAUAGUAAAGAUGUGGAGGGGUUUAUUGAUACAAUUGCUGUAGGGGGAACGAGGAAGGUUUCAGACGCACGAAUCACUAGCAUACAUUUUUCAUAUUUGCUAGUAGAUGCUUAA
rnacentral:rRNA from 1 species